GUCUAUGGUCAUACCACCCUGAACGUGCCUGAUCUCAUCUGAUCUCAGAAGCUAAGCAGGGUCGAGCCUGGUUAGUACUUGGAUGGGAGACCAGCAGAGCCGGCCCUCCACUGGUU
ensembl:rRNA 5S_rRNA 5S ribosomal RNA